UGCCUUUUUAGGUUAACUGCAUUAUAAUGAUAGGUUGUGUAGUGUACCACUGCCAUCUAGUGGCAGAAGUUAAUAUCAGCUUUACUUACACAGAUAGUUUAUACAGACAGGAAGUGACCUUUGUUCCAGGAAGCUCUUCCACCAUCUUGAGGUCACUCUUUCACUGGGCAGGCAGCAUGUAUCUAUCUCUCCCAUGAGGUUUGGGACAUCAUCACCUUUUCACAGACUAAAAUAAAGUUGGAGUCCUCUGGUGGACAAUACAA